rnacentral:tRNA from 4 species
GUCCGCGUAGCUCAAUGGAUAGAGCGGGGGAUUUCUAAUCCCUUGAUUGCAGGUUCAAGUCCUGCCGCGGAUA